rnacentral:rRNA from 1 species
CGACUUUGGGUAGUAACUUCAGGAAACUGGGGCUAAUACCGGAUAGGAGCUCCUGCUGCAUGGUGGGGGUUGGAAAGUUUCGGCGGUUGGGGAUGGACUCGCGGCUUAUCAGCUUGUUGGUGGGGUAGUGGCUUACCAAGGCUUUGACGGGUAGCCGGCCUGAGAGGGUGACCGGCCACAUUGGGACUGAGAUACGGCCCAG